GUAUUUCAUUGCGUUAAACGCGACAUACAUUCCAUAAGACUUUGUUGUAGUGUGUGUGUAAAGACGUAGAACCACGCCAGGAGGACAGAGCCCACCCAGGCCAUGGAACUACGGAGGGUGCACAGGUGUGAGUGGAUGUGUAAACAAAGUGUGCACAUGCCCCCGUACGGGGACCAGCAACAACUCUUGUUGACAAUUCGGUAAUGAUCCUUCCGCAGGUUCACCUACGGAAA
rnacentral:misc_RNA from 1 species